rnacentral:rRNA from 1 species
UACGGAGGGAGCUAGCGUUGUUCGGAAUUACUGGGCGUAAAGCGCACGUAGGCGGUUAUUCAAGUCAGAGGUGAAAGCCCGGGGCUCAACCCCGGAACUGCCUUUGAAACUAGAUGACUAGAAUCUUGGAGAGGUCAGUGGAAUUCCGAGUGUAGAGGUGAAAUUCGUAGAUAUUCGGAAGAACACCAGUGGCGAAGGCGACUGACUGGACAAGUAUUGACGCUGAGACGCGAAAGCGUGGGGAGCGAACAGG